rnacentral:lncRNA from 1 species
CAGUGCUCCGGGUCGCAGUGUCACACCACAACAAUUGGGAAAAUUGUUAGAACUGUAAUUUUUAAACUUCUUAUUAGUGGGAAAAGGGGGUUGUAAGUAGAGCCAAGCUGCCUGGACCCCUGCCUUUUUCCUAAGCCCUGGAUCCCUGUCGAUUCACCAGUGAGAUUUCCAUCCCAUCGAGGCUGAAUGUGAUGCCGCUUGUCUCCGUUUUUUGCACCCCUCUGU